ACGGGGCGCAGCAGGCGCGAAACCAACUCAAUGCACUAACGUGCGAAGGGGUUACCUCGAGUGCCACCUGAAGAAGGUGGCUUUUCCUUGGUCUAAAAAGCCUCGGGAAUAAGAGGGGGGCAAGACUGGUGUCAGCCGCCGCGGUAACACCAGCCCCUCGAGUGGUGGGGAUGAUUAUUUGGCCUAAAGCGUCCGUAGCCGGCCGUAUAAGUUUCCCGUUAAAUCCAACGUCUCAAGCGUUGGACUGCGGGAAAUACUGUACGGCUAGAGAGUGGGAGAGGUCAGCGGUAUUCUGGGGGUAGGGGCGAAAUCCUUUGAUCCCCGGAGGACCACCAGUGGCGAAGGCUGCUGACUAGAACACGUCUGACGGUCAGGGACGAAAGCUGGGGUAGCGAACCGGAUUAGAUACCCGGGUAGUCCCAGCCGUAAACGAUGCAUGCUAGGUGUUGGGUUGGCCACGAGCCACCCCAGUGCCGCAGGGAAGCCGUUAAGCAUGCCGCCUGGGAAGUACGAUCGCAAGAUUGAAACUUAAAGGAAUUGGCGGGGGAGCAC
rnacentral:rRNA from 1 species